GCCUGGGUGGCUCAGUCGGUUGAGCAUCCGACUUCAGCUCAGGUCAUGAUCUCAUGGUUUGUGAGUUCGAGCCCCACGUCAGGCC
rnacentral:tRNA from 1 species